CCCAAUCUCUACCCAGAAAGCCCCGAACCCAGACCUCUCUUCCAGUGCCCUUCAUCCUCCCUAUGUCACCUUUGCUCAGCCUGACUAGUUCACAGUUGAUCUUGUUUCUGAUCCCAAAGCAGUCAGCACAGCAAUGACUCUCAAACUUUGGUGCUCAGGCUCAGCUCGGGAGCCUGUUAAAAAUAUUAGCCACCCCACAACAGAAGUCAUUGAUUUAUUAUAUCGGGAUUUGGACAAAGGGAUGUGCCUCUUGAACUCGUUCCUCAGGUGUUUCUAUCUGAUGAGAAAAGGCCAUAAAAAUGUAAAGUAUAAUUCUGAUUACAGUCUAGCAACUCAGACACUUUGGGCCCUUAACCACAGUAAAGGAGACUGGUCCUCCCGGAAAGGAGAAGCUGAAUGUGUUCAUCAAAG